UAUAAAACGAAGACGUAGAGGAGUAAAAAAGAACCUCAUUUAAGAGACAAACUGGUUGGUGAAAAGUUUGAUGAGCCUUUUUGAAGGUAGCUACUGAGUUGAGAAGCUGAACAAUCAGUAAGUUUUUCCGUUUGCUGCGUUAAAGCCGAAUGAAGAGCUGAUUUUUUAUAAUCAGAAUUAAGGUGGUACCGCGAUAAUUCGUCCUUAGA
rfam:complete chromosome Acholeplasma brassicae.